CCCAGCUGUUGGCAAUGGCUUAGGUUGUCUUGUGCCUAGGCAAGUGUUACACAGCUGGGAGAAAAACAGCCAAACGCUAGUGGGCACUCAGCCUGGUGAAUGCCAACUCUGUGUUGAUUACACCACUGUGCCAGCAGA
ensembl:snoRNA SNORA74 Small nucleolar RNA SNORA74